rnacentral:rRNA from 1 species
UGGGGAAUAUUGCGCAAUGGGCGAAAGCCUGACGCAGCGACGCCGCGUGAGGGAUGAAGGUUUUCGGAUCGUAAACCUCUGCCAGAAGGGAAGAAACCGCACUGUGCUAAUCAGCAGUGCCUUGACGGUACCUUCAAAGGAAGCACCGGCUAACUCCGUGCCAGCAGCCGCGGUAAUACGGAGGGUGCAAGCGUUAAUCGGAAUUACUGGGCGUAAAGCGCACGUAGGCUGCUUUGUAAGUCAGGGGUGAAAUCCCACGGCUCAACCGUGGAACUGCCUUUGAUACUGCUUAGCUUGAAUCCGGGAGAGGGUGGCGGAAUUCCAGGUGUAGGAGUGAAAUCCGUAGAUAUCUGGAGGAACAUCAGUGGCGAAGGCGGCCACCUGGACCGGUAUUGACGCUGAGGUGCGAAAGCGUGGGGAGCAAACAGG